rnacentral:misc_RNA from 1 species
AACAUCGCGCACCUGCGGGAACCUGCGGAGGGAUCAUUACCGAGUUUACAACUCCCAAACCCCUGUGAACAUACCAAUUGUUGCCUCGGCGGAUCAGCCCGCUCCCGGUAAAACGGGACGGCCCGCCAGAGGACCCCUAAACUCUGUUUCUAUAUGUAACUUCUGAGUAAAACCAUAAAUAAAUCAAAACUUUCAGCAACGGAUCU